rnacentral:rRNA from 1 species
UACGGAGGGGGCUAGCGUUGUUCGGAAUUACUGGGCGUAAAGCGCACGUAGGCGGAUCAGUCAGUUAGGGGUGAAAUCCCAGGGCUCAACCCUGGAACUGCCUUUAAUACUGCUGGUCUGGAGGUCGAGAGAGGUGAGUGGAAUUCCGAGUGUAGAGGUGAAAUUCGUAGAUAUUCGGAGGAACACCAGUGGCGAAGGCGGCUCACUGGCUCGAUACUGACGCUGAGGUGCGAAAGCGUGGGGAGCAAACAGG